rnacentral:rRNA from 1 species
UUUGGCAUAAUUUCACAAACGGAGGAAAAGAAACCAACAGGGAUUGCCUCAGUAACGGCGAGUGAAGCGGCAAGAGCUCAACUUUGGAAUCGCUCCGGCGAGUUGUAGUCUGGAGGUGGCCACCACGAGGUGUUCUAGCAGCAGGCAAGUCCUUUGGAACAAGGCGCCAGCGAGGGUGACAGCCCCGUACCUGCUUUUGCUAGUGCUUCCUGUGGCCCACCGACGAGUCGAGUUGUUUGGGAAUGCAGCUCUAAGUGGGUGGUAAAUUCCAUCUAAGGCUAAAUAUUGGCGAGAGACCGAUAGCGAACAAGUACAGUGAUGGAAAGAUGAAAAGCACUUUGAAAAGAGAGUGAAACAGUACGUGAAAUUGUUGAAAGGGAAGGGCUUGCACCCAGACACGGUUUCGGCCGGGCCAGCAUCAAGUAGAACGGGGUUAAAAGACUUGGGGAAUGUAGCUACUUCGGUAGUGUUAUAGCCCUUGGUGAUGACCCCUGUUUUGCUUGAGGACAGCGGUCUCUAGGAUGCUG